AAUCGCGGAUCAGCAUGCCGCGGUGAAUACGUUCCCGGGCCUUGUACACACCGCCCGUCACACCAUGGAAGUUUGCAAUGCCCAAAGUCGGUGGCCUAACCAUUUGGAGGGAACCGCCUAAGGCAGGGCAGAUGACUGGGGUGAAGUCGUAACAAGGUAGCCGUAGGAGAACCUGCGGCUGGAUCACCUCCUUUCUAAGGAAUAAAACGGAAACCUACACAUCGAAGAAACUUUGUUUAGUUUUGAGAGGUUUACUCUCAAGCUUGCACUUUGAAAACUAAAUAAUAUCAAUUUUCUUUAUUAAUUAACAAAACAAACCGAGAACACCGCGUUAUUUUGAGUUUUUUAGAAAUAAUCGCUAACUCAAUUAAUCGGAUAAUCACGAAGUGAUUAUCAAGGUUAAGUUAUGAAGGGCGCAUGGUGAAUGCCUUGGUACUAGGAGCCGAUGAAGGACGGGACUAACACCGAUAUGCUUCGGGGAGCGGUAAGUACGCUUUGAUCCGGAGAUUUCCGA
rnacentral:misc_RNA from 1 species